UACGUAGGUCCCGAGCGUUGUCCGGAUUUAUUGGGCGUAAAGCGAGCGCAGGUGGACUUUUAAGUGAGAUGUGAAAUACUCGGGCUCAACUUGAGUGCUGCAUUUCAAACUGGAAGUCUAGAGUGCAGGAGAGGAGAAUGGAAUUCCUAGUGUAGCGGUGAAAUGCGUAGAGAUUAGGAAGAACACCAGUGGCGAAGGCGAUUCUCUGGACUGUAACUGACGCUGAGGCUCGAAAGCGUGGGGAGCAAACAGG
rnacentral:rRNA from 1 species